rnacentral:rRNA from 1 species
GGAAUAUUGGACAAUGGGCGAAAGCCUGAUCCAGCCAUGCCGCGUGAGUGAAGAAGGCCUUAGGGUUGUAAAGCUCUUUCACCUGCGAAGAUGAUGACGGUAGCAGGAGAAGAAGCCCCGGCUAACCCCGUGCCAGCAGCCGCGGUAAUACGGAGGGGGCUAGCGUUAUUCGGAAUUAUUGGGCGUAAAGCGCGCGUAGGCGGCCAGGUAAGUCAUGGGUGAAAUCCCUCGGCUCAACCGAGGAAUUGCCUUUGAAACUACCUGGCUCGAGGCCGGGAGGGGGUAGCGGAAUUCCCAGUGUAGCGGUGAAAUGCGUAGAUAUUGGGAGGAACACCGGUGGCGAAGGCGGCUACCUGGACCGGUUCUGACGCUGAUGCGCGAAAGCGUGGGGAGCA